GACGUAGGAUGCGAGCGUUGUCCGGAUUCAUUGGGCGUAAAGAGUUCGUGGGCGGUUUGUUAAGUCUGAUGUUAAAGAUCGGGGCCCAACCCUGGGAGUGCAUUGGAUACUGGCAAGCUGGAGUGCAGUAGAGGCGAGUGGAAUUCCCAGUGUAGCGGUGAAAUGCGUAGAUAUUGGGAAGAACACCGGUGGCGCAGGCGACUCGCUGGGCUGUAACUGACGCUGAGGAACGAAAGCUAGGGGAGCAAAUGGG
rnacentral:rRNA from 1 species